UCAGUCAGAACCUGUAGAGUCAGAUCGGGUCAGCACUUAUGUUUUAGUUGAUUCAAACAUUUGCUCUGUCUACAGAUGUAGAGUGAUCUGUGAUCGUUGGGACACACGUGUGCAUGUGAUGCUGGUUUUGCACACUUGUUCGUUAGCAUGUAGCUGCUUUUAAGAACCAAAUACAACUCUAAAAGCAACUAGAAAGGUUUUGAUGAUGAAACCAUGUAAAGUGAAACUACACGUCUGAAGCCUGUCCCUCUGAAAUAAAACCUUUGAACGCUCGACUGCACGUCAGAGAGUUCAAGCCAACAACAGGAAGAAAGAAACAAAGAUGUAAGAAAAUGAAGAGAGGCUUUGUGGAAUCUAGAAGCUUGUGAUAUCCAUGAGGUUGUUUGACCAAACCGAGACUGUUUGUGGCUCAGAGGAGUGUGUGGAGGUGGAGGAACGUGCCUUUUACAGUAGAAGGCUUCUCCUCCUGCAGUGGACACUCUGUUUGUCUUACUGUCACAAGUAAACAAGAUGAUUCAUCAUGUUGUAGAUUUCCACAACACGUGUUGUUAACUCUCUGUUUCUGUUCAUCUUGUGAACAUCACCGACUCGUCAUCUUACUCAGGACUGCAGCCAGGCUGGUUCCGUCAUCGCUUCCUUCUCAUAAUGUCCAUGCUCCAUGUUUGUGUGAUCUCAGAGCUGCAGGACUGAGGCUUAAAUCAAACUAGCAGCUGUACAAACCAAGCACAGGUGUGAAUGGUGUGAAUUUUUCGUUUCCUGUCUGACCAUGGGUGACUGGAGCGCUCUGAGUCCUCUGCUAAGGAAGGUCCAGGCCCACACCACCUCCGGGGGGAAGGUCUGGCUGUCAGUGCUCUUCAUCUUUAGGAUCCUGAUCCUGGGAACCGCUGUGGAGUCGGCCUGGAGCGACGAGCAGUCGGCCUUCAGAUGCAACACCCAGCAGCCAGGCUGUCAGAACGUCUGCUAUGACAAGUCCUUCCCCAUCUCCCACAUCCGCCUCUGGGUGCUGCAGAUCAUCUUUGUGUCCACGCCCACCCUCCUGUACCUGGCUCAUGUCUUCCACCAGACCCACGAGAUCAAAAAGAAGUUUGAGGAGGAGGAAGGAGAUGUGGUGGAUGCUGCUAAGCUAAACGUGAGGAAAAGGUUUGUGUCCAAGGAGCUGGGGAAGAAGAAGAUGGAGGCAGCUCUGCUCUCCACCUACAUACUCAGCAUUCUCUUCAAGUCUGUUUUCGAGGUGGCCUUCCUGCUGCUGCAGUGGUUUGUUCUGGGAUUCAGCCUGGCUCCAGACUAUGUGUGUGAGAGGUCUCCCUGUCCACACAAGGUGGACUGUUUCCUGUCCCGCCCCACAGAGAAGACCAUCUUCAUCCUCUUCAUGCUGGUUGUGUCACUGGUGUCGCUGCUGCUCAACCUCAUAGAGCUUCUAUGUGUCAUUGUGAAAAAACUAAAAGCAAACAAGACAAAAACUGAGCACAUCUCAAAGUGUUUGUCCCAAAAACACACCAGUGAGCAGAACACUGCCAACACGAAUAUUGAGCAGGACCUAACCGACUGCCAGUCCCACCAACAGAACAGAAAGGGGGAGACUCAGACCUUCAUACAACAAGAAGAGACCAAGGCUAGAGGCCGGGACAGAACGGACGACCUGAUCCUGUAAGCCCCUCCCACCUCAGCCUGGAGGCGGGGCUUCACAAUACACACUGAUGCCAUAAUCAAAAUGAUCAGUAACAGGUCUGAACGUCACUGAAAAAGAGGAAAUCAUGCUGUCACACAGAACCUGAACUAGAUGGUGGUGUGUCUGAAACGUUUCACCUCGUGUGUCGGUGCUGGAGCUUCGUCUACGUUUCUUUGUGCGUGACAGUUGUUAUGUUGGUCUAUGUAUUGUCACAUUCCUCAAAUCAGUGACUCAGACGCCAGUCUUGUGUAGCUCAAUAGAACCAAACCAUCAGAAGCUGGUUCUGGUUCUGGCUCAGUUUUGGUCAUAUUUUUUGCAGGAUUAAAUUUCCUACUUGCGCCUUUAAGCAGUGCAGACGUGUUUUUUCUCUGCUCCUCCUGUUAUUUUUGUCUUGUCUUUUCAGCACCCUAAUCUGCUAUUCUGGAAUAAAUAUUUUUGAACAUGGAGCUAAUCUCCUGGCCAGCGCAUUGGACAGAGUACUAAGCAAAGAAAUACUGGGAGAACCACUCUGCCUGAAGGGGACGAUUGCCUCUGCUUACGCAUGGGGACCUGUGGGAUUCCUGGUGCCUCCUGCGUCUCGGGCCACUGUCCGUCGCAGAAGACGUAUUCAUAUUUUGGACCUCGAUAACAGGGUGGAGGUGCCCUGCUUUAUGUGAAGACUGGAAAAGCUGCAGCCAGUUUACUGGCACGAAAAAGCGGUCCUGGGGUCUAUUGGUGCUCGGCUGUUGGAAUUAAUUAAUUAAUUAAAUUAAUUAAUCCUGAUUGAUGGACUGAUUAUGAACAUCUCAGCCCGUUCUGAGGUGGAAAGAGGACGGAUGGACAAUAAAGAGACUGAACUCUUGCAGUGGGUGUUCCAUAGACCUGAAGGAGGAGUCCUGACCGAGUGGGCUAUUGAUAUAGAUUGGAAAAUUAUUUUAUUACAUUGCUGUAUUUUCUCUGUCCCUCUCCCCUUCCCCCUCCUUUUCCCAGUCCAGUCUAGCUCACCAGUUGUGCUUCUCCCUUCCUUCCCUUAGUAUGUCUCCCUCCAAGGAUAACCGUUGGACUGAACUGUAAACAUCUUGGCCACUUCGGCCAUACAACAUUAAACACUCACUAUACUGACGCAGAUACACCCCCCCCCCCCCCCCCCCCCCCCCCAAGACCAGUCUCACCAACUGCUCUCCUCCCUCAGCCUCUGUCCAUGAAAAAAUAUAAAGAUGGAUAGAAGAUAUAAAGAUUCCACUUGUACUGGUAUUGUGUUUAUGUUGUCGUAUUGUACUGUGUGGUUCUUGUAUUGUACUGUUUUGCAGCUUGCUUAAAUAGCUUCAGGAAUGUGUGGCGGCGCGCAUACAAUGGACGGUUUCACCCACUGGUCCAGAACCUUCCCUGUAAACUGAUGUUCCUGUGCAGAUCAAGUCACUUUGUUGGGACCAUGAGACACUGGAUGGAGACUCUGGUGUUGAAUGCUUUUUGUGAUAGUGAUGUUCUGUUUCUCUCCAUGUAGUCGUUGACCUCACAUGCUCAGACCGGUUCCUGUAGGACUGCUCAGCAUUUCAUUUGACAGCACGCACACAGGCACGGCCCGUUUGGCGCACUGGUUCUGUGUGUUGUGAAAUGUUCUUAACACCAGAGACAUUUUACUUCAGUAUGAAUUCUUUGAAUAUCUGUCAGUCAAGUAGCACAAAGAUCCCUCUGUCAUUAUACAGAAAGAAAAACUACACGACAAUAAGCAAUAAUAAA